CGUUCUUUUAGACCUGCUCUUCAGCUAAAUUCUGUCUUAGCGGUCUAGGACUGAGGGGCUCCAGGUACAUCAAGAGUAUGGGUGAUUGUUCUUGGGGCUGAAUUCCUUUUCUCCCAAGACAAUUCUAAUGAGGGUAAGCCCUGUAGCCACUCUGGGCCUCCCGAUGAUUGACCUUUGGAUAAAGAGGUACCUAGCAUAAAAAGGAAGUCAAAGACAUAUGGGAAGUUUCAGAGCCAGGCAAGGAAGACCAUAGGGUCACAGGAAUCACUGGGCAUAGGGGCAAGAGGAUCUAGAUGGCAGUUUCACUCAACUUCCGUUUCCUGUAGAGCAUAUUGUUUGUUAAAUUUUUCUCUGCACCCAGCCGCCACACUUGGUGCCUUCCAUAGUUUUGAUCACAGUAGGAACUUAAUGCCUAUUUGUUUAAUUAAUUAAACAAGUAGUGAGUCACCGGCAAACCUAGUACUGGCCAAAGAGACUAUGUCUAACGUUCCAACGGAUGAACUCUGCAACUUCUGACAAGUCUUUUAACCUCUCUGUGUGAGAUUUUAUGUUAUUUCUGUCAUAGUCUUUGGAAGCGAUUGGAGUGGGAAGAGAUUGUUAAUUUACCAAUAUGAAACAGAGACUCAGACAGGAAUAUGAUAUUCUCUCGACAUCAUAUUGAGUCAGUAAUAAGGUCAAAAUGAAAAUUCUGCUUUUUGAUUUCUCAUUAAUUCUUUUUUUUUUUUUUUGCAGUUUACCAUAUUGAAUGUUCACACCUUACACUAUGAGCUCAGGCUUUCAUAUAAGUGGUUGUACCUGGCAUACAUGUGGUCCAUAUGAGAGUGAGCAUGAAAUGAUUGUACCAGAUGGACAAAGAAGAACUGGUACCAAUUUUACUAAAACUAUUUAAAAAAUUGAGGAGGAGGAAUUCCUCCCUAACUCAUCGUAUGAAGCCAGCAUCACCCUAAUAUCAAAAUCUGGCAGAGAUACAACAAAGUAAGAAAACUUCAGGCCAAUAUCCCUGACUAACACAG
rnacentral:lncRNA from 13 species